AAAGUUAAGGUGUAAAUAGUGUUGUCCGUGAUAGAAGAAAAAUCAGAGACUCCGUCGCGGGGAUUUGAACCCGGGUUCCGAACGUUCGUAAUCUAAGGCGCUAACCACUACGCUGCCGUCGUUCGACUCUACCGCUCAAGACAUCAAUUCGUUGGCGUGCAAACAGCGAAUCGAAUUCCGAGUUCGAGGACGGAGAAGAUGAAAACUGUCGAAAUAUUCGCACAUGCCUGCUCAUAACUUAAUGGAGUUGACAAGUCGUCGACGAGGAUGAUGGACUGCGCUAGAUCCAGGGGAUUCCUGCAACCCCAACGCGGGGCUAAAAACGGAUUCGCCACGGGCAGCUGCGGCGACGCGACUCCUCUCGCCUUCUAGCUCAUUUUCCUCCUCCUUAUUUUUCGGGGGAAAUCAACUCUCUCACUUUCUCUCUCGUCCGUGUAAUCGGUUUUUCUGUUGUGUCACUUGAACAUGGCAGCCUUUGUGCACACGCGUGUUUUACACGAGGUCCGUGUCCAGAAUUAUGCACGGGACGACCCCUCGUCGGAACUUCGAGAAGCGAAAACCACUUUAUUAUACGCCCGUCGAAAUUUUCAUUCAUACUCGUUUUACUUCGUCAUGGUUCCUUAAUACCGUUCGAUGCUGAAAUAUAAACGCGAACGUGCGUAACUUAUGCGUAAUAGGUUCAUUGUUUAGUCUACAGAAUCUUCCUUGAGUGAAAAGUUAGUCAGAUGUUUAGUAGAUGAUAAUGGUGAUGAUAGAUAGAUAGACUUAUAUAAUUUUUUUAACCUUACUUCGAUUACUCAAAGCAUCAGUAUAGUAUCGUGAGAUAGAGACAAACUGUAUUAAAUUAGUGGAACUACCUUUAUGGAAUCUGGUAAGCGAUGGUUUUCACGUGUUCAAUUAUUUUUUGGUUUGAUAAAUGAUGUCAUAACGUAUAACAGUGAUAUUAAAAAAUAAAGAUGAUUUAUAUAGAUAGUGAACAAAAAUUGAACGUGCUUUAUAAUUUCAGGAAGAGGAAAUUUAGAUCGACCGAUAUGGAAAUGAAUUUUGGAAAAUUUAUAUCCGAUGGUAAUAUAUUGUUGUCUUAGUUACAGUUGAUAAAGUAGAAAAUGCUAUAUAAGUACGCUCACCUGAUAUGCAUUUUAUUCUAAUGGUUAUUUUAAUGUCAUUCCCAACGUUACCGAUGCAGCAAAGAAUAAGAUUAGAAUAUCAGUAGCGGUUGGAAUUAAAACUAAAUUUUACGUAUCAAACUAUGAAUAAAGUAGAUGGUAUAGAUAAAGAGAAAGGAUAGAUAAGGAUUAUCAAGUAUUCAUAAGUAGCCGAUGUAACAAUUAUCUUUCUACUAAUACUACUAAUUUAUUAAUCUUUCCACUUCGCUACUUUUUGUUCUUACUGCUUUUGUAUGCGAAAGAAGAAAUAACUGUUAAAUACAGUUUCCAGGCUUAGGUCUACUGCAA